rnacentral:rRNA from 1 species
GUGGGGAAUAUUGGACAAUGGGCGAAAGCCUGAUCCAGCCAUGCCGCGUGUGUGAAGAAGGUCUUCGGAUUGUAAAGCACUUUAAGUUGGGAGGAGGGGCAGUAAGUUAAUACCUUGCUGUUUUGACGUUACCGACAGAAUAAGCACCGGCUAACUUCGUGCCAGCAGCCGCGGUAAUACGAAGGGUGCAAGCGUUAAUCGGAAUUACUGGGCGUAAAGCGCGCAUAGGUGGUUUUGUAAGUUGGAGGUGAAAUCCCCGGGCUCAACCUGGGAACUGCCUCCAAAACUGCAUGACUAGAGUACGGUAGAGGGUAGUGGAAUUUCCUGUGUAGCGGUGAAAUGCGUAGAUAUAGGAAGGAACACCAGUGGCGAAGGCGACUACCUGGACUGAUACUGACACUGAGGUGCGAAAGCGUGGGGAGCAAACAGGAUUAGAAACCCUGGUAGUCC